UGGGGAAUAUUGCACAAUGGACGAAAGUCUGAUGCAGCAACGCCGCGUGGAGGAUGACACAUUUCGGUGCGUAAACUCCUUUUAUGUGAGAAGAUAAUGACGGUAUCACAUGAAUAAGCACCGGCUAACUCCGUGCCAGCAGCCGCGGUAAUACGGAGGGUGCAAGCGUUACUCGGAAUCACUGGGCGUAAAGCGCGCGCAGGCGGCUUUGUAAGUUGGAUGUGAAAUCCUAUGGCUCAACCAUAGAACUGCAUCCAAAACUACUUAGCUAGAGUCUGGGAGGGGAAGAUGGAUUGUGG
rnacentral:rRNA from 1 species